UGAUGCCCCUCUCCCACUAACGAAGAUCCCGGGUGGGCGAGGGACGGGCAGGGAUC
rfam:Danio rerio chromosome 25, GRCz11 reference primary assembly.